CCUACGGGGGGCAGCAGUGGGGAAUAUUGCACAAUGGGGGAAACCCUGAUGCAGCGACGCCGCGUGAGUGAAGAAGUAAUUCGUUACGUAAAGCUCUAUCAGCAGGGAAGAAAUACUGACCUUACGGUCAGCAGACGGUACCUGAGUAAGAAGCCCCGGCUAACUACGUGCCAGCAGCCGCGGUAAUACGUAGGGGGCAAGCGUUAUCCGGAUUUACUGGGUGGAAAGGGAGCGUAGACGGUGCGCCAAGUCUGGAGUGAAAUGCCGGAGCUUAACUGCGGAACUGCUUUGGAAACUGGCGAACUAGAGUGCGGGAGGGGUAAGCGGAAUUCCUAGUGUAGCGGUGAAAUGCGUAGAUAUUAGGAGGAACACCGGUGGCGAAGGCGGCUUACUGGACCGUAACUGACGUUGAGGCUCGAAAGCGUGGGGAGCAAACAGGAUUAGAUACCCCAGUAGUC
rnacentral:rRNA from 1 species